UACGUAGGGUGCAAGCGUUGUCCGGAAUUAUUGGGCGUAAAGAGCUCGUAGGCGGUUUGUCGCGUCGAAUGUGAAAACCCGGGGCUCAACUCCGGGCCUGCAUUCGAUACGGGCAGACUAGAGUUCGGUAGGGGAGUCUGGAAUUCCUGGUGUAGCGGUGGAAUGCGCAGAUAUCGGGAGGGACACCCGUAGCGAAGGCGGCACUCUGGGCCGUGACUGACGCUGAGGAGCGAAAGCGUGGGGAGCAAACAGG
rnacentral:rRNA from 1 species